GGAAGUCUGUAACGGUAUUUUAUUUUGAAAAUUGACCGUUUCUCUGCCGUUUCUGUGUCUGACUUCCUGCCCGGUUCAUCUGCGCUGUGCUGCUUGACGCUGGGAAGCUUCCUGGACACACUCAGUCUAUGGACGCACUGCAGCGCUUCUGGUCCUCUUCUGGUGGAUCUAAAUCAGGAAACACUUAACCACAGUUGUCAGACUCACAGUUGACAUCAACGUGGGGCAAGUGCAAGAGGACCCGGUUAGGCACCUUGUGGUACUCCACUGCCACCAGCUUCAGGGCCAAGUCAGGCGUCACAGAUGUCACAGGACAUUUUAAUGGAAAAAAGCCUGCAUGUUGGGGAAAACAAAACACCAUCUGAGCAUGUCCAGGAUUAUCGUCAUCUCCAUGGCGACUGCCUCCUCCACCUCCACCUCCUGCUCUUUCUCUCCUCACUACUCUCUCCAUCUCCGUGUGGGUAAUCUGUGGUGUUCGCUCUGCAGCGCCCACUCAUUCAUCUCCCAUCCCUACCACAAAAUCUGAAUUCUGAAAUUGCAAAAGGAGUAAUAAACAAGAUUGACUGCAGCUCUCCCUAUUGAUCGCUGCUCCAAUGUGCUUACAUGAUUUGUAAUAUCCCCCCACUCGCCACCCCUCCCCUUCUAGUCCUCAAACAACAGCACCCAAUGGCCAGGCCACAUAGGGACAAUUAUAAUGGGACAGGAAUCAAUUUCUACUAGAUUAAGAUUCUUGUUCUCCUGUGGCCAUAGGGGUUUAAAUGCGAAAGGAAACAUGUUCUGAGAAAGACACUUAUAUAAAAGAUAUAAAAACCCAGUA